rnacentral:ribozyme from 1 species
UUUUGUCCUUACGGCAUUUUUGUAAACUUUUUUUUCUGCGAGCGUUUUGCUUUGUAGUUCCUCACGGAAGCAAACAGCAACAAAUGAAAAAAUAUGUGAACAAGAAACAGGGAUGG